UGAGCCAAGUUUAGGGUUUCUUAAAAACCCAAAGAUGUUUGAACUGAAGAGUUUGAUCAUGGCUCAGAUUGAACGCUGGCGGCAGGCCUAACACAUGCAAGUCGAGCGGAUGAGAGGAGCUUGCUCCUGGAUUCAG
rnacentral:rRNA from 1 species